rnacentral:lncRNA from 1 species
GUGCGAUAAAUAAAACAUUGAUAACUUUGUUAUUUGUGGUAACCCUCAAUACUGAACUGAAACACAUGCCGCCAUUUCUGUCCACGUAACUUAAAGGAAUUUGGUAGGUGUCAGAGCUUUGAUGGCGGGAGGGAUAAAUUGUAAAUGAUGCUAAAAAGGCAGUUGUAGACAUAAUAGCAUGAUGGCCAAGUAGUACUCAUAAUGCUUUUCAUGUAGAAAUGGAGUAUUUUCAGAGACGUCUUUGUAUCUCACCACAUAUGGAGAUGAAAUUUCCUUCUUGAGCAUAAUAGAUUUACUACUGUGUUUAGAAGCAGUUGAACUUUAAGCACAUAAGGCUUGUGUCUGUCAUGGGAGACAUUUUGGUCCUAACAUAAGGCUGGUACUGAUACGAAGUAUGACUGCACGUGGCAUAAAGAAUACAUAUUCAUUUGUUUUGGGUAGCAAUAUGUCUGGCAGUAUGGCCGUUGGCAACUUUCGCUUAAAUGUAAGAGAGAAUGUUUGACUCCACAUUGGCAUCUAGUUGUAUUAAUACUAUCUUCAUCUCUAAACUGGAAACAUGUAUUUGCACAAUAAAUUCCAUUUCAAAAUCAGG